CACCGCGGUUAUACGAGAGACCCAAAUUGAUGAAGAUCGGCGUAAAGCGUGGUUAAGAAAAUAAAAAAUGGGGCCGAAUGGUUCCAAAACAGUUAUAAGUACUCGGUACCUUGAAGUUCAAAAACGAAAGUAGCCCUAUCAAACUCUGACCCCACGAAAGCUACAGAA
rnacentral:rRNA from 2 species